CCCUUGCGGGCUGGGAUCCGAUGGUUGAAGGUAGAUCCAAGAACGCAGAGAAUUAAAGACCAGUUAGUUGAACCAGGAGACUGGGUCCUGAUAAAAAGUAUAAAGAAGAAGCAUUGGCACUCACCUAAGUGGGAAGGACCCUACCAAGUGCUGUUAACCACAGGUACCGCAGUAAAGAUUGCAGAACGUAGUACAUGGAUUCAUUUGACCCACUGUAAAAUAAUAAUUGGACAUGUCUAAAAUAACUAUUUCCAUCAUACUGUUCGUAGUCACCAUUCUUAUAUGUUUCAUAGUGAUAACUCUAUGGUAUCUGCUGUAGCGUUGUAGCUCUUCAACGUACCACCAGAGAAAGUCCGGUUACAAAGGGAACUGUAAUUUUAGUUUGCAGUUGUCUCAAACCCGGUGAAGAUUGUCCACCACUCUGUUGUAGGUAAAUAGGAGGAGUUCCAAUCUACAGCAGAAUGAUCACUCAAGCGCAUAAAAAGAUGGUGGCAGUGGGUGGAAUAGUUGGAAUGAUUAUAGUGGUGUCAUUACUGUUGUGGGAGAAGAAUCAUAGUGUGCAGAAGAGAAGGGUGGGCUAUUAUAACACCAAACCGUCGCAAA